AUGUUGUGUCGGGUGGUUCACCGGAGAACGGCGGCGUCGGUGAUCUGGCCGUGGAAGGGUCCCCUACCUAAGGUAUGUCUACCAAACUUAACAUUAUUUGAUCUCAUACAACCAGAAUCAUGGACUAAGGUGACUAGGAGAAAGAAUGCUCGCCGGGCAGGGCCGCGAUCGGUGCCGGAGGUGGCCGCGGCUUCGUUGCCGGCGGCCACGGUGAUCCCGAUCUGUGCCGCUCGCCAGGAGCGUUUGAAUCAGCUCCUGGGACGAGUUGCGCCGAUGCAUGUUGGGCCGGUGGGUACGUUUGGGCCGGUGUCUGGUGGGUAUGAGGCCCAGCCAAACGAGGCUCCAAAUGCUAUCGAGAGGAGGGGCGCAUGCACGUCGUCUUCGUCAUCGCCUACUCCUCCACCGCGCAUUAGGGUUUCACGGCGUCGCGUGCCACACUUUCGCUCCGUCGGUCCUGGCCGGGCUCGCCGCAUCCCUCCCCUUGGUGCAAUGGGGGGGUCGGGUGGUGCUCCUCCACCUGGGAAGCGACUGCUCCCGCCCAGUGGGGCUUCUCGGGCCUCCGGGGCGCCGCCGCCGGGCCAAGGCAAUGGCCGGGGCGCGCCGCCUCCGGGCCAGGGCAAUGGCCGGGGCGCGCCGCCGCCGAGCCGAGGCAAUGGCCGGGGCGCGCCGCCGCCAGGCCAUGGAAGUGGCAGGGGCGUUCUGCCGGCGCUGGUUGUGGCUGUCGGCCGCGCGGCUGAGAAGCCUCUCAAGGACGCUGCGGGGUGCGGGUCAGGGGGCCAGGCUGCGACGCUUCCGGCUGGCGGGGUUGCCGUGGGGAGGCCGCCGGCUCCGACGGUGCCGUCGGGCGGGCGAGGGGGACCGGGCUACGGCCCUAGACCAGUCGUCCAGGACAAUACUGCGGUGGUCGCUGCGGGCCAGGGAGCUGCACCACCAAGGCCACCAGCCCCUCCUCCCCAUGUCGUUGCUCGUCCGCCCGGGCCGUCACAGUCCAGCGGUACUGUGGCUGCGCCCCGAGGUCAAUGGGGGGAUGACGGCUACGAUGCCUACGGGACUGGCCAGCACCGUGGCUCUUCGUCCACGGGUGGCGGUCGUGGUUAUGCUUGGCAAAGUGAUGGGUCAGUUGAGAGGCCGUUCUUGGGUCCUUCAGGCGGCUUCGUUGAGGGGCCUUCUGAUCCGGGUCUUCGGCAGCGAGGAGGUUUCUGA
rnacentral:rRNA from 1 species